GCAUCAUCAAACUCUAUAUAACUACUGUAUUGAAGUAGUAUAUGGUUAACAACAUUAUAUCAUAUAUAGCUUUAUCAAAUUAAUCAUCCUCUAGUCUAAAGGCAAUGGCGAUGAAUUCUGAGAAGAUUCUUCUGGCUACAAUCAUCAUCUUUAUGCUUGUUUUAUCUCCAGUUGUACGUAGCAGCGCGGACAGAAUGACUCGUCGAGAACUUGGGGUUAAGCAACCAAAAUGCGAGAAUUGCAUCUGUUGCCAACCAAAUACGCCGUCGUGUUGCGUUUGCGCUUGUGCCGUUCCGUUUACUGUCGCCGUCGACCAGCCGUGAUCACGGAAUUAAGCAAAUUAGUGACGAGAAGAUCGAUCAAAGACGUUGUGUGAUCAUUUCUAUAUAAAAAUAAAAUAAUUUGCUCAAUGAUUUGGCAAUGUGUUUUGGGUGAUUUGAAUUUUUGUUUGUGUGAAUAUUAUUGCUUCUAUAAAAUAAUAAUAUGAAGAAAAAAAAACGUUUUUUUGUUUGGUAAAAUGAAAUAACUGUUUCGUUAUUUUUUUUUCCUUUCAUGCUCCUAUUGUAUUUGUAAUUAUGAAAGUUUCAAUGUAAAAUGGAUGGAUUCCACUCCACCAAUUCAAGAAAACCCAAUACUGUCAUUU